rnacentral:rRNA from 1 species
CCUACGGGAGGCAGCAGUGAGGAAUAUUGGUCAAUGGGCGCUAGCCUGAACCAGCCAAGUAGCGUGAAGGAUGACUGCCCUAUGGGUUGUAAACUUCUUUUAUAUGGGAAUAAAGUGCAGUAUGUAUACUGCUUUGCAUGUACCUUAUGAAUAAGGAUCGGCUAACUACGUGCCAGCAGCCGCGGUAAUACGUAGGGGGCAAGCGUUAUCCGGAUUUACUGGGUGUAAAGGGAGCGUAGACGGCGCUGCAAGUCCGGAGUGAAAGCCCAUGGCUUAACCAUGGUACUGCUCUGGAAACUGUGGAGCUUGAGUGCGGGAGGGGCAGGCGGAAUUCCUAGUGUAGCGGUGAAAUGCGUAGAUAUUAGGAGGAACACCGGCGGCGAAGGCGGCCUGCUGGACCGUAACUGACGUUGAGGCUCGAAAGCGUGGGGAGCAAACAGGAUUAGAUACCCGAGUAGUC